rnacentral:rRNA from 1 species
CAAUAGCGUAUAUUUAAGUUGUUGCAGUUAAAAGCUCGUAGUUGGAUUUCGGGUGUCAUCUGCCGGUCCGCCGUUUCGGUGUGCACUGGCGGGCGUCAUCUUUCUGUCGAGGACGCGCUCCUGUUCUUUAUUGAUCGGGACGCGGAGUCGGCGAGGUUACUUUGAAAAAUUAGAGUGUUCAAAGCGGGCUUACGCUUGAAUAUAUUAGCAUGGAAUAACACUAUAGGACUCCUGUCCUAUUUUGUUUGGUCUUCGGGACGGGAGGUAAUGAUUAAGAGGAACAGUUGGGGGCGAUUCGUAUUUCUAUUGUCAGAGGUGAAAUUACUUGGAUUUA